rnacentral:rRNA from 1 species
GACGAACGCUGGCGGCGUGCUUAACACAUGCAAGUCGAACGAUGAAGCCUAGCUUGCUAGGUGGAUUAGUGGCGAACGGGUGAGUAAUACGUGAGUAACCUACCUUUAACUCUGGGAUAAGCCUGGGAUACUGGGUCUAAUACCGGAUACGACCAAUCUCCGCAUGGGGUGUUGGUGGAAAGCGUUAUGUAGUGGUUAUAGAUGGGCUCACGGCCUAUCAGCUUGUUGGUGAGGUAACGGCUCACCAAGGCGACGACGGGUAGCCGGCCUGAGAGGGUGACCGGCCACACUGGGACUGAGACACGGCCCAGACUCCUACGGGAGGCAGCAGUGGGGAAUAUUGCACAAUGGGCGCAAGCCUGAUGCAGCGACGCCGCGUGAGGGAUGACGGCCUUCGGGUUGUAAACCUCUGUUAGCAGGGAAGAAGAGAGAUUGACGGUACCUGCAGAGAAAGCGCCGGCUAACUACGUG